rnacentral:rRNA from 1 species
UGAGGAAUCUUGCACAAUGGGCGAAAGCCUGAUGCAGCGACGCCGCGUGAGGGACUAAGGCCUUCGGGUUGUAAACCUCUGUCAGUAGGGAAGAAGAUUGACGGUACCUACUGAGGAAGCUUCGGCUAACUACGUGCCAGCAGCCGCGGUAAUACGUAGGAAGCAAGCGUUGCCCGGAAUUACUGGGCGUAAAGAGCUCGUAGGCGGGGGCGUGCGUCCGGAAAGAAAUCUCAAGGCUCAACCUUGGGGC